rnacentral:lncRNA from 1 species
UUCACUAAAAUGUCUUGAGAUCUCUAUCCAUCCCAUCACUCUCCAGAGGCUAAUUCACACUCUAUCGGGCAAGCAAGAACCUCAUCCCCAUCUGAACUUUUUUUUUUUUAAACUGACUUAUAAAAGGUAAAGCUAAAUGGCGGUGGCCUUCCAUGGAGGCCGGAACGGCGUCGGAUCGGGACUCCGCAGUUUCUUCUCGUACCGGAUCUUCAUCUCCGCCUUGUUCUCUUUCCUCUUCCUCGCCACCUUCUCCGUUGUCCUCAACUCCUCUCGUCACCAACCUCAUCUCGAUCACGUAAGCUUCCGAUUCGUUUCACAAUCCGAAUCAAAAUUUAGAAAUGAAUUUAGAAUCUGAGCUUCGAUUUUUGGUGUUUAGACAUUGCCGAGGACGUUUCAAUCGGAUCCGUUGAAAGCUAGGUUAGAUCUGAUCCACAAGCAAGCCACCGAUCACCUCACGCUUGUGAACGCUUACGCUGCUUACGCUAGGAAGCUCAAGCUCGACGCGUCGAAGCAGCUGAAGCUCUUCGAAGAUCUGGCGGUUAACUUCUCCGAUCUGCAGGCCAAACCUGGACUGAAGCUCGAAAACGGGAACGCGAUCGAGGAGGAUGCGUUUCGGCAGAUCGAGAAAGAGGUUAAAGAUAAGGUGAAGACCGCGAGGAUGAUGAUCGUUGAGUCCAAAGAGAGUUACGAUACACAGCUCAAGAUCCAGAAGCUCAAGGAUACGAUCUUCGCUGUUCAAGAACAGUUGACGAAAGCUAAGAAAAACGGCGCCGUUGCGAGCUUGAUCUCGGCUAAGUCGGUUCCCAAGAGUCUUAACUGUUUGGCUAUGAGGCUUGUUGGUGAGAGGAUCUCUAACCCUGAGAAGUAUAAGGAUGCUCCGUUUGAUUCGGCUGUGUUGGAGGAUCCGAGUCUUUAUCACUACGCGGUUUUCUCUGAUAAUGUGAUUGCUGUUUCCGUUGUGGUGAGGUCGGUUGUGGUGAACGCUGAGGAGCCGUGGAAGCAUGUGUUUCAUGUGGUGACUGAUAGGAUGAAUCUCGCCGCUAUGAAGGUUUGGUUUAAGAUGCGUCCUUUGGACCGUGGUGCUCGUGUUGAGAUUAAGUCGGUUGAGGAGUUUAAGUUCUUGAACUCUUCGUAUGCGCCGGUCUUGAGGCAGUUAGAGUCUGCUAAGUUGCAGAAGUUUUACUUUGAGAACCAGGCGGAGAACUCGACUAGAGAUGAACAUAACAUCAAGUUCAAGAACCCCAAGUAUCUCUCGGUGUUGAACCAUCUGAGAUUCUACUUACCGGAGAUGUAUCCGAAGCUGAAUAAGAUCUUGUUCUUGGACGAUGAUGUUGUGGUGCAGAAGGACGUGACUGGGUUGUGGAAGAUUAAUUUAGAUGGGAAGGUGAAUGGAGCUGUUGAGACGUGCUUUGGCUCUUUUCAUCGAUAUGGUCAAUACCUAAACUUCACUCAUCCUCUGAUCAAAGAGAGCUUUAACCCCAAUGCUUGUGCUUGGGCCUUUGGGAUGAAUAUAUUUGAUCUCAAUGCUUGGAGGCGCGAGAAAUGCACAGAUCAAUACCAUUACUGGCAGAACUUGGUAAGCCCCAUAUCUUUCUUAGUAACUUAUGCAUUUCAAAAAAUCUCUUUUAUCUUGUGUUGAUUGUGUGCUAAUCUCUGAGCAGAAUGAAGACAGAAGUCUCUGGAAAUUAGGCACUCUGCCUCCGGGACUGAUGACAUUCUAUUCAAAGACGAAAUCACUGGACAAGUCCUGGCAUGUGCUUGGGUUAGGCUACAACCCGGGAGUGAGCAUGGACGAGAUAAAAAAAGCAGCAGUGAUACAUUACAAUGGGAACAUGAAACCAUGGCUAGACAUUGCUAUGAACCAAUACAAGUCUCUCUGGACUAAAUACGUCGACAACGAAAUGGAGUUUGUGCAGAUGUGCAAUUUUGGUCUUUAAAGAAAGAUAUCGAUGAAGAGGUAACCUCAAAUCGAUAUAUGUUCAGUCAUUCAGGGCAUUCUUUAGCUUAUAUACGUUUAUCUUUUAUAUAUUAUAUAGGGUUACAAAAGUGUUUUGCUUUGUUCUUUCUGUCAUAGUUUUGUUCUUUAUUUAUAUUUUGUGUAACUCUUUCACAUCAAAAGCUUUAUCCAAAACUACAAUGUGUUAAGGUUUGUUUCAUGCAAAGUUUUGACUUAUGAUUGAAACAUUAAAGAGAAAUGGAUUAGGAAGAUAAUGAAUUUUUAUCAUAUGUUGAUUUAGUUUCAUUUUAUUACUAAAAUCAUGAUGAGCUAACUACUUUACAAAACACAAUAAGAUUUUAUCAUAUGUUUGUAUAUCUACAAAAAUAGUUAGAAAUUCAACAAAGUUGUUAUGACCGUUUCUCACCGCAAGACAGAAACUCAAAGAUCCUGUCUCGAGUCAAUGUACGUCCAAACUGCACAAACCCAUCGCACCUUCCGGUCUCUCUGUCUAGGUCAACGAGCGUUGACUUCAAUUUCUCCAGUUCCUCCUCCAUCCCUCCCAUAGCAAAUGCCACAGACGACCGUUUAUUCACGGCGAUGUCCACCGUUAGUCUAAUGGAUCUCUCCACCGCCUCCAACAUACUCACAAGUCUGCUCAUCUUCUCAACCUCCUUGAGAGCCACCAUCGUUUCCCUCUCCAUCGACGUCACUGCUGUCUUUUCCCGUUUCAGAGUUUCCGACGACUCUCUCCACCUCGAAGCAGCAAAGUUAGUCACUGCUUCAACCGGUACAGGUACAAAGAUACCCGCCACGAUUUUUCCCACGGCCACUAGAGCGAUCAUCGCCGCCGCAACCUUGAUCCUUGGAUGCUGUCUUUAUGGAGUACAUUAUAUCAGAUCAAUCCAAAAUACUUUCCUAAAGGUCCAGAUGUGAUGAUUCCUCAAGAUGAAUUAACUGAUCAGCCCAAAUAUAGGAUCUUAUAUCAUAAGCAGGAGACACUGGAGCCUGAAUUGAUGGCAGAGUCAGGUACACCAAGUUUUUAUUCCUAUCAUGUUUUUAAGGAGGGGAUUCAUGGUGUGGAUACUUUGCUCCAUCAUGUUAGCUUAGGACUAUGUUAUGCUACUUAACAGUGAACUUUCUGUCUAGUUAAUAAUGGUAAUUGCUAGAAAAAUGUCAAUGUAGAGAAAUGACUUUUAAUGUUCUGGUUCAGUUGGCUCGUGAACUCUUGCAUAAUAUGCCUCUUAUUGUUUUAGCAGACAUCAUAGAAAGAGCCCGUGGAAUGUCACCCGGAAAAUUAUCCAAGGACAAAACUAAACCAGACUGCUUUCUCAAGAUGGUACUAUGCACAUCCAUUAUAUUUUUUUUUUGAUUUUAUGUUAUAUAUGCUAUGCAACCUUGCUGGUUAUGCUAUUUUUUUAUGCUGUGUUACCUUGAAUACGGAUUUGAUGGUCCUUCUUGGUCAAAAUAUGUUUUCUUAAAAUAUCUUAUUUCUGGUAAGCCUGGAUGAUAUGAGUUUUAUUCCCUUGGCUUGCAUUUAAAUAUUUCAAUCAUGCAGAUUAAAAAUGAAGUCUUGACGAAAGCUGGAAGUACAAAGGAUGUCCGCCACUUCGAGUUCCAAUUUGUUUCUUCUGUAAGUAACUUUGCUAUCACUUACUAACUAGUUUCAAUCAAUUUCUCCUCUUUUAUGAAGUGGUUGUUCAAUUAAUUUCUCCUCUUUGUUUUUUUUUUAAUUCAUUUAAGAGUAUCAAAUAUGAAGUGGGCGAUGUUGUUGAGCUUCUUCCAAGCCAAGAUUCUUCAGCAAUAGAUGCGUUUAUAAAACGCUGUCAUUUGGACCCGGAAUCAUUCAUCACAGUAAGUAGCUCCACUCUGUUGACAUGAUGAUCCCAGAUUGUCUAACUGAAGUAAAUUUUGAUAACUAAUUUACUUUCAGGUUUGUCCGAGAGAGACAGUGAAUAAUGGUUCAUGUGGAGAAGUAAUUACACACCAUGUCCCUAUCAAGCUUAAGACUUUUGUUGAAUUAACAAUGGACGUUACAUCUGCUUCACCUCGACGAUACUUCUUCGAGGUAAGAGUCCUAAUGAUCUUGAAUAUCAGAUUUUUAUAAUGUAAUUUUAAGUAUUUGAUGGAAGUCGUUACAAUGUAUCUUCUCGGUGUCAGGUUAUGAGCUUCUAUGCAACAGCUGAACUUGAGAAGGAAAGACUGCAAUACUUUGCCUCAGCCGAGGGACGUGAUGACCUCUACAAUUACAAUCAGAAGGAAAGAAAAAGCGUCCUUGAGGUAACCAAUUGGGGACACCAUGAUUCGUCUUGAACCAAAUAGAUCUUAUUGCUACUGCCUAUGUAGGUGCUAGAGGAUUUCUCUUCCGUGCAAAUGCCUUUUGAGUGGCUAGUACAGUUAGUACCAUCGCUAAAACCACGAGCUUUUUCGAUAUCUUCAUCUCCUUUGGCCCACCCUGGUCAAGUACAUUUGACAGUAAGCGUGGUAUCAUGGAUCACCCCUUCAUACCCUUAUAAGAGAACUCGAAAAGGUCUAUGCUCCUCUUGGCUCGCAAGCCUCACACCUGAGCAAGGUUAGCACUGUGUUUCUAUGUAUUAUUUUAACUGACUCAGGUCUUUGUUUCUACGUAUUUAUCUUACAUUUUGUGUUCCGUUGUGUUUAGAGAUAAACAUACCGAUUUGGUUUCACAAAGGCUCUCUUCCUGCUCCACCACAGUCGCUUCCACUCAUCUUAGUGGGACCUGGAACCGGAUGUGCCCCUUUCCGCGGGUUCAUAGCUGAGAGAGCCGUGCAAGCUCAGACCAGCCCGAUCGCACCAGUCAUGUUCUUCUUUGGUUGCAGGAACAAAGACACUGACUUUUUAUACAAAGACUUCUGGGAGUCUCAUGCAAGAGAAGGAGGCAUGCUCUCUGAAGUAAAAGGCGGAGGGUUUUACACAGCAUUCUCUAGAGACCAACCGAAGAAGGUUUACGUGCAACACAGGAUACUAGAGAUGAGGAAGAAAGUUUGGGAUUUGCUAUGUGAUGGAGCCGCCGUUUACGUGGCGGGCUCGUCCACGAAAAUGCCUUGUGAUGUGAUGUCGGCCUUGGAGGAGAUUGUGAUGGAGGAGACCGGAGGAUCAAAGGAAAUGGCUUCACGGUGGCUCAAGGCUUUGGAGAAAGCUGGGAGAUACAAUGUUGAAGCUUGGUCUUAAACCCAACUUCCUCCAUAUCAUGUAAUGUUUGAUUACUAGCUAUACGAAUCAUUGGAUUAUUUAUUUAUUUAAAUUGAUUUUAUAAUAUUCACAUUGAACGGUUCAAAUGAAGAUGAUUUGUUUGAUUGUAUACAUUUGAACUUUAUUUAUAAUUUAAUUUUAAUUUUUUUUAUAUAACGAGGUUCUUACCUUUUUCAUUUUAACUAGAGUUUGUUGAAUAAAUCAUUCACCUCACUGAAUAAUACAAGAUUUCAGUGUUUAUAUAAAAAUCAUCAAUUAAAUAACAUCAGAUUUUAAACAGAACUGAAAAUCAACGUACAAUGUCAAUUACUCAAUUUUUUUAUUUAUUAAUUUAUUGUAUAAUAACACUUUAGUUAUUUUUCAAAUGUUUUCGAUCGGCAAAUUUAAUAGAAUAUAUUUAUUCUUCAAUUAAUCAUUGAGUGGCAAAAUUAAAAAUGAAAUAAUCAAUUGUUAUAAAAUGGACAGAAACUAUUAUUUUUCUAAAUUUGUUUAUUUUUUUAAAAAAAAUUGUGCAGUCAAAGUGUUAGUUGAUAAUAAUUCUACACAAACAAUACUUUCAAGUAUUAAAGCUGCUGGUUUCAAAUACUUUGGUAAUAAAAUGUUAAUGUCCUAAAGUAUAUAGGUGAGACUGGGGUUUUAAUAAUAUUGAGAGUUUAUAUCUACACUAUAAAUUAGUAAUUGUUUAUUAAACCAAUGAUUAAUGACAUUAACGUGUCUUCUUCACUAAAAUGUCUUGAGAUCUCUAUCCAUCCCAUCACUCUCCAGAGGCUAAUUCACACUCUAUCGGGCAAGCAAGAACCUCAUCCCCAUCUGAACUUUUUUUUUUUUAAACUGACUUAUAAAAGGUAAAGCUAAAUGGCGGUGGCCUUCCAUGGAGGCCGGAACGGCGUCGGAUCGGGACUCCGCAGUUUCUUCUCGUACCGGAUCUUCAUCUCCGCCUUGUUCUCUUUCCUCUUCCUCGCCAC